rnacentral:rRNA from 1 species
AUUGAACGCUGGCGGCAGGCCUAACACAUGCAAGUCGAACGAGUGGCGGACGGGUGAGUAACACGUGGGAACCUACCCAUCAGAGGGGGAUAACACUUGGAAACAGGUGCUAAUACCGCAUACUGAUGGAUGGACCCGCGGUGCAUUAGCUAGUUGGUGGGGUAAAGGCUCACCUAGGCGACGAUCUCUAGCGGGUCUGAGAGGAUGUGCAGCCACACGGGGACUGAGACACGGCCCAGACUCCGACGGGAGGCAGCAGUGGGGAAUAUUGCACAAUGGGCGCAAGCCUGAUGCAGCCAUGCCGCGUGUAUGAAGAAGGCCUUAGGGUUGUAAAGUACUUUCAGCGGGGAGGCGUUACCCGCAGAAGAAGCACCGGCUAACUCCGUGCCAGCCGCCGCGGUAAUAC